UACAGAGGGGGCAAGCGUUGUUCGGAUUUACUGGGCGUAAAGGGCGCGUAGGCGGCAAUUCAAGUCAUCUGUGAAAUCUCCGGGCUUAACCCGGAACGGUCAGAUGAUACUGCUUUGCUAGAGUGCGGAAGGGGCAAUCGGAAUUCUUGGUGUAGCGGUGAAAUGCGUAGAUAUCAGGAGGAACACCGGUGGUGUAGACGGCUUUCUGGACCGUAACUGACGCUGAGACACGAAAGCGUGGGUAGCAAACAGG
rnacentral:rRNA from 1 species